rnacentral:rRNA from 1 species
AGCGAACGCUGGCGGCAGGCCUAACACAUGCAAGUCGAACGAACUCUUCGGAGUUAGUGGCGGACGGGUGAGUAACACGUGGGAACGUGCCUUUUGGUUCGGAAUAACUCAGGGAACCUUGUGCUAAUACCGAAUGUGCCCUUCGGGGGAAAGAUUUAUCGCCAUUAGAGCGGCCUGCGUCUGAUUAGCUAGUUGGUGAGGUAACGGCUCACCAAGGCGACGAUCAGUAGCUGGUCUGAGAGGAUGACCAGCCACACUGGGACUGAGACACGGCCCAGACUCCUACGGGAGGCAGCAGUGGGGAAUCUUGCGCAAUGGGCGAAAGCCUGACGCAGCCAUGCCGCGUGAAUGAUGAAGGUCUUAGGAUUGUAAAAUUCUUUCACCGGGGACGAUAAUGACGGUACCCGGAGAAGAAGCCCCGGCUAACUUCGUG